AAUCAAAAGAAAGAGAAAAAGAAUCUAAUGUUGAUCUAAAGUAUGUAAACUAGAUACUCAUGUUCAGGGUAGCUAGAUAAUAUACGUACGUAUCCUCUGGUCUAAUUCCUUUACUGGUUUGGAGGAAUAGGAGUCUAAAAAGUAGUUGCUAAGGUAGUGAUAGAAGGGUGGCUAUAUUGGUCACUGAUUUAAUUUUUAAAUGUCAGAAAUGUUUUUUUUGUCAAUUUUGAGUUGUAUAUUUAUUAUUUUCACUUUAACAGAUGACAAACAAGUGAGAUGGGAAAAGAUUUAAUUUGAAUUCAGUUAUAUAUUAAUCCUGCACGCAUUGAUACUGUGGUGUUAAGUAAGGCCUUUGGAUGCUUUUCUAAGGUUUUGUUGCAAACCAAGCAUGAUGAGUAGCUUACACAGGCUGUCUCUAAGUAUUUGUUUACUGAAUCCAUUAACUUUUUCUAGUUUAGUCCUACAAUACUAAUAGUUGGUCAUAAUAAACGUCUCUAAAAUUUGUUUUGCUCCUGGUUUCCAGGUGCUGCUGAUCAGAGAUCAGCUGACCAGGAAAGUGAAUCGUUCACAAGCGCCAUUAGUUAUUUCAAACAGUGUU